rnacentral:rRNA from 1 species
GACAGAGGUGCCAAGCGUUAGGCGGAAUCACUGGGCUUAAAGCGUGUGUAGGCGGAUUUCUAAGUACCUUGUGAAAUCCCACGGCUCAACCGUGGAACUGCUUGGUAUACUGGUUAUCUUGAGCCACUUAGGGGCGUACCGGAACAAAUGGUGGAGCGGUGAAAUGCGUAGAUAUCAGGAAGAACACCCGUGGCGAAGGCGGUUCUCUGGGACGGUACUGACGCUGAGACGCGAAAGCGUGGGGAGCGAACAGG